GAUGAACGCUGGCGGCGUGCCUAAUACAUGCAAGUCGAGCGAACGGACGAGAAGCUUGCUUUUCUGAUGUUAGCGGCGGACGGGUGAGUAACACGUGGAUAACCUACCUAUAAGACUGGGAUAACUUCGGGAAACCGGAGCUAAUACCGGAUAAUAUUUUGAACCGCAUGGUUCAAAAGUGAAAGACGGUCUUGCUGUCACUUCUAGAUGGAUCCGCGCUGCAUUAGCUAGUUGGUAAGGUAACGGCUUACCAAGGCAACGAUGCAUAGCCGACCUGAGAGGGUGAUCGGCCACACUGGAACUGAGACACGGUCCAGACUCCUACGGGAGGCAGCAGUAGGGAAUCUUCCGCAAUGGGCGAAAGCCUGACGGAGCAACGCCGCGUGAGUGAUGAAGGUCUUCGGAUCGUAAAACUCUGUUAUUAGGGAAGAACAUAUGUGUAAGUAACUGUGCACAUCCUGACGGUACCUAAUCAGAAAGCCACGGCUAACUACGUG
rnacentral:rRNA from 1 species